AUGGAAAGGAGAGACAGACUCCUGUCAUCACAUACAGAAACCGGCAGGAUGAAAAACAUUAACCAAUCUGACCCAGAGCCAGCUGCCCUGACACUUGAAGGCUCUGCGGAAACUCCCCUCUGGGAAGGGAAGAGCACAGCUGAUUCCCCUGCUCCCCAGCACGCCCUGGUUCCGUCUCUUAGACACGGCUCCCUUCAGCUUUCAGCCCUGCUGCAAAACAGUCGAUGCCAUCUGUGCUCUCCACAGCCUAGUGCUUCCGAGGGCAGGCUUGCAGCCGGACCACCAAAGUUAAUCCUGGAACUGCGUGACCCUGGACUUGUUCUUAACCUCUCUGUGGCUCACUUCCUCCCCUCUCUAAAAACAAGGCUAAUCCAGGACUGCUGGAGAUGAGGGAGUUUCAAGUAAAGCACUUUGAACACAGUGACACACAGCAAUAAGUGACACACAGUAAUAAGAAUGUUAGCAUUCUUAUUACUAUAAGCCAUUCGUAUUUGGUUUCACCCCAGGCAACUUACUAUACAAUUGAUCCUCAAACACAGGCCCCUUUAAUCCUUGCCUUUGCCUGAUACUCUUCUCAAAUAUUCUGUCUCCACUGUUUCUACAAAUCCUCCCCACCUGUCACCACCUAGGGGAAGCCCUGCCUGCUCCCCAAGUUCUGCCCGUUGCAGCCUCCCAAAUCUCCUGCUACUGUCUGUAAUAAAUAUUUGACCAUCUCUACCGCUACCUGGAGCUUCCCAGGUGGUGUAGUGGUAAAGAAUCUGUCUGCCAACGCAAGAGAUGCAGGUUGGAUAUCUGGAUCGUGAAGAUCUCUUAGAGAAGGAAAUGGCAACCAACUCCAGUAUUUUUGUCUGGAAAAUUCCAGGGCAGGCUACAGUGCAGGGCGUCUCAAAGAGUUGGACCUGACUAAGCACACACACACACAAACACACACACCUCUAUCUGGACAUUUUUGGGAAAUGAGUCUGAAUCACGAUGUCAUCAGAAAACAAGCAGCACCUCAAAAAGGCAAUCAAGGGACUAGUUACAGAGGAGUGGGCAGGGCGAAGGGACAGUGAGACACCCAGGGACCAUCAGGAGGGGGAAGCAGGCACCCCCCAGGCCCGAGGGCACGGGGCAGGGAGUACUUACUAGGAACCAGUGAGAGGCACAAAGUGGGCACCCGAGUUGUGGCUUUAAAGUUGAGAACGAGCGACUGCCAAACCACAGGGUAAGAGGUGAACUAAUAUAUCUCAACCUCCUUCUCUUCCAUACUCCAGUCUCUUGGAGGCGAUUCUACUGGUCAGUCCCAACUGGAGGCCACCAGGCUGUAGGUCAGUCUCCCCAGAUAUGCAGAGGACGGGAGAGAAUGGGACUGGAGAGAAAAAUGGAGACUAGGCAGCACAGACAGGUUUGCACCAAGCUAAUCAUCAGUUGAUUGGCGACACACUUGUAUUCAUCCUUGUCUCUCACACAUGGGCCUCUGUAAGCAGUUGCCUAGGGAAAUGUACGAACAUGGCCUUGUAGUCAGAGACCUGAGUUAGAAUCCAAACCAGCUGCACAAUCUUAAGAAAGUAAUUUACUCUGAGUCUCU
rnacentral:lncRNA from 1 species